rnacentral:rRNA from 1 species
UACGGAGGGUGCAAGCGUUAUCCGGAUUCACUGGGUUUAAAGGGUGCGUAGGCGGACAGGUAAGUCGGUGGUGAAAUCUCUGGGCUUAACCCAGAAGCUGCCGUUGAUACUAUCUGUCUUGAAUAUCAUGGAGGUAAGCGGAAUAUGUCAUGUAGCGGUGAAAUGCUUAGAUAUGACAUAGAACACCGAUAGCGAAGGCAGCUUACUACAUGGAGAUUGACGCUGAGGCACGAAAGCGUGGGGAGCAAACAGG